rnacentral:rRNA from 1 species
CUACGGGCGGCUGCAGUCGAGAAUCUUUUACAAUGCGCGCAAGCGUGAUAGAGCGAACCAGAGUGCUUCUCAUCGAGAAGCUUUUGUGAAAUCUAAAAAGUUUCACGAAUAAGGACUGGGUAAGACGAGUGCCAGCCGCCGCGGUAAUACUCGCGGUCCAAGUCGCAGCCAUUUUUAUUGGGUCUAAAACAUCCGUAGCUUGUUUGAUAAGUUUCCUGUGAAAUUCUAUAUCUUAAGUAUAGAGCGAGCGAGAAAUACUAUUAAACUAGAGACUGGAAGACGUAAGAAGUACGUUCGAAGUAGCGGUAAAAUGUGUUAAUCUCGGACGGACUCACAACAGCGAAGGCAUCUUACGAGGACAGUUCUGACAGUAAAGGAUGAAGGCUAGGGGCGCAAAACGGAUUAGAUACCCUGGUAGUC